UGCAAACCUCUGCUGAUUUUUUCAAAUAGAGGCUUGGUCAACUGCUUUUAACAGCUAAACAUUAAAGCCACUGAGAGCAUAAACAGGAAGCUGGUGUUUAGGGGGAGCGCCUAGGAAUUUUAUACUGCUGACCACAGAGGCCAACAGAGAAAGGAAAUAGGAAAAACAGUAUAAAUACCUGGGUGACUAAUGACUUCGUGCGGCUCAGCUGGCUUUUCUGAACAUUUAAUGGGAAGCCUCUUCCAAGAGAAACACCCUCAAAAACGUUCAGGAUCCCGCAUGGCAUCGAAAAGCCAGACAGGAGUGCCGACGCACGCAGGUGGUGGGUUCUGCCCACCGACUCCGGCAGAAAGACCUCCCGCCUGGUUCUCCAAGUGAUCAACUCUAUUUGCAUGCGUGGUGCAGACAUUUUGCCGGGUACCGGGGUUCCCAGGCCUCCGAUUGUAAAGGAUUGUGAGGCCACCCCUCUCCUCGUUCACAUGGAGAGCGCCUAAGAGGAUUUAGAAUCAAGUGGGCACAUUUGCACGGCCUUGUUCUGAAGAGGCAGCUGGAGCGCGGGCGGCCCGCCCGGAGCAGCCCACCGCGGGUCCCGGGGGACUGCAUUGUCCUCCGAGGGGCCGCCGCGGGGGCUCCAUUGUGCGCGGAGCAGGCCUUUUUCUCCUGCCCUCUGUCUCCCCCGGGCCUGCCCACCCCUCCCACCCCGCAGACUUUUCUCUCAAGCUGCCCGAUCCCCCUGCUGCCGCAUUUCCAAUGCAGAGAGGCCGGCAGGGCUUCGGGCCGGCCAUCUGCACGCGGAGAUUGACAGCCGCCCCGAAGGGGAAGAUUCGCCCUAACAUCUGUUUCCAAUCUUCCUCCUUUUUUUCUUCCUUUUUCCCCCCAAAGCCCCAGUACAGAGCUGUGUAUAGUUGUAAGUUCUCUGUGAGCGCGGCCACAGCAUGGCUACUGAGCGAGGAGGGUUAGUCCCGCAGCCUGAACCCAGCCGGCUGCCCCUGGAGCGCCCCGCAGCUUUAACUGCUAGGCCCUCAGGGCUGGAUCAAGAUUUGCAUUUCUAGACCCUAAGCUCCGUGAACGCAGACACUGCAUCUUGUUCAGCCUUGUCUCUCUGCCACCUAACACGAAUGUGGGGAGUCUCUAACGUGCGCGUGGGGGUGCUUGUGAGCACUGAGAGUCACUCUUCUCUCUUUUGUAUGUCAAAGAACAAGACGUUGUGGGGAAAUGAUCUGUGCAUACAGCCAGAUGUUGCCAUCCUACAGUGAAACUUACAUGGUUGCAGCAAGACCCCUGCAAAUUGCUCCAGCUCCAAGUGUCCAAAAGUUACCAUGGACCCCUUAUGUAAUGACAUGGUCCUUGACCUCGUUGUAUAAAGGCACGUUACAGUCAACUCGUUAUGUAAUGGCCCGCACAUGUGCCCUUAUUGGGCCCAAUUGUUACACACUUGUGACACAUCCUCAGCAUUCUGGAGUAUAAAGUCUCCACUGGCGCUAAGUUUGGGGGACACUGCUUUGGGAUUUGCCGUUGCUUGUGCAAGCAAUAAACCUUUUCUUCACCCACUUCAGUCUUGCUUGUGCUUUUUGGCUCCGUAUUCACCAAGAGACGAACCGAUUGAGUUUGGUUACACAAGGAAGCAUAAGCAGUCGUGGUUGAAUGCUUUCCUUUCUUCCCCCAGAUGGAUACUCCUGAGCUGUCUUUCAUACAUCUCCUCAGGCAGCCCAGAAGGAGCCAGCAACCUUUCGCCAGGAGCUGUGGCCAACCUCAUAACUCAUUCUGAAACCUAUUGGUUUUCCAUCCUUCUCUGCUUCAUUCUUCUUGUCCUUACUCCCACUCGCUGGAUCACACUCCCCAGUCAAGUGUUUGCACUCAAGCCUUUGUCUCAAGAUCAGCCAUCUGGGAGACCCAGGCUAAGUCCAAGUCAUUCUGACAUUAUUUUUUACCAAAUGGAGUUGUAAUGUCUAAGCUAUCUCCACACCCCUCAUCUCAGCUGU
ensembl:lncRNA